CCCGUGGCAAAGAGGGGAGGGCUCGCAUCCAGCUGUAGGCCUCUCAUUCAAGGUUCUUGCUGCAGCCAGCAGUGUCCUUGGAGUCUAGUUCAAAGCUGGAGAGAGUGAACCAGGGAGCCAGGAGCCAUUGGUGGAGGGGCUGGCCCGAAGGAAGUGAAGUAUUUCAGCCAGAAUGUAUUGACGCACGACCAGGAAACCACAAGACUGGUGAAAACCUUUCCAAGCCUGAGCCCGAUGAUCAAAAGAGGUGCAGGAAGCAGCUCUGCCAAGAGUCCUUUCUGCUGCCGGCUGGAGCCCUGAGCCUCUGAUGCUUUCUGAGUCAACUCCCUGAGCAGAUGCUAUCGCCCAAGGAGCCAUUGCCCCAGCAUUUUCUUACUUUGCUCUGACGUGGCCCCACAGAUAUGUCAUCAGCGUAACAGUUCAAAAGGAACGAUGCCUCCAUGACACUUGUUCCCUUACUAUACUCUUCAUGUGACCUGUGUGUCAGCUCUAUAGGACUUCCAGCAGCUUCAAGUUGGCUUCUCAUCAAGAUGAUUCAGAAAAUGCUGCUGAGCUGUGGUGCACAAACAAGGACAUGAGUUCCGCCAUGUCCAAAAGAAUGAUGGUGCGAAUCCUAGUUACAGGUUAUAUCAGCAAUUAAAGUGUGCACAUCAUGGGAAACAUCAUGAAAUGCCAACACUGCGCCAAUAUAGCCUCUGGAAGCUUUACCGACAGACCCUUCCCCGCGCCGACUCAAUGGACCUCUCUCCAACUGCUCUCUCUGAUGAAAGCCAGACA